rnacentral:lncRNA from 1 species
UAGAAGAUUCUCGCAGGAGCGAAAACCUCCUACUCUGACUUUUUUGUAAGACACUCGAGCACCCUUUGUGUAAGGAUCGACGUCCACCUUCCGACCUAUCCGAAACGAGCAGCAAUAGAUAGCGAAAGGGUGUAAUCUUCAUUAUGCCACCAAAGCGAACAUCAUCUCGGCCCUCCAACGUCGCCGCCACUCACCAGACGGAG